UACGUAGGGGGCAAGCGUUGUCCGGAUUUAUUGGGCGUAAAGAGCUCGUAGGCGGUUUGUCGCGUCGGAUGUGAAAACCCAGGGCUCAACCCUGGGCCUGCAUUCGAUACGGGCAGACUAGAGUAUGGCAGGGGAGACUGGAAUUCCUGGUGUAGCGGUGAAAUGCGCAGAUAUCAGGAGGAACACCGGUGGCGAAGGCGGGUCUCUGGGCCAAAACUGACGCUGAGGAGCGAAAGCGUGGGGAGCGAACAGG
rnacentral:rRNA from 1 species